GGUAUUUCUGGAGUUGCCAAGAUUUGCACUGGAGCCUCAACUUACUCUGGAUCUACAUACAAGUACCUAUAAGGUGUGGUAGUGGUAGAUUCAUAGCAACAUCCUUCAGUAGAGAAUUACCAGUACCUCUGACCAUGGUAACCACUGCUUUUCCCUUGUCAAGCCACAAGAGCUUCAUUCUGUGAACUAGCUCUUCAUGUAAACUCAGGAGUACUGUGCUGCAUGUGAGUUUAUUGAUCUGUCCUUUUUACCCAUUCAAGAGUGUAUAAUCCUUGGCUUCAUAUGAAUAAUCUCCACGUGUGGAAAAUGUUCAUGACACUGUAUUGGUAGCUAUUACUUAAAAUAUCACAGAACCACCAAGGUUGGAAAAGACCUACAAGAUCAUCCAGUACAAUUGUCCACCUACCACCAAUAUUUCCUCACUAAACCAUGUCCCUUAACACAACAUCUGAGCGUUUCUUGAACGCCUCCAGGGACAGUGAAUCAACCACCUCCCUGGCCAGGCUGUUCUAGCAUCCAGCUACUCUUUUGGAGAAUAAUUUCCUAACGUUCAACCUGAAUCUCCCCUGGUACAAACUGAGGCCAUUCCCUCUAGUCCUAUCACCAGUUAUAUGGGAGAAGAGGCCAAC